rnacentral:rRNA from 1 species
AUUGAACGCUGGCGGCAGGCCUAACACAUGCAAGUCGAGCGGUAGAGAGAAGCUUGCUUCUCUUGAGAGCGGCGGACGGGUGAGUAAUGCCUAGGAAUCUGCCUGGUAGUGGGGGAUAACGUUCGGAAACGGACGCUAAUACCGCAUACGUCCUACGGGAGAAAGCAGGGGACCUUCGGGCCUUGCGCUAUCAGAUGAGCCUAGGUCGGAUUAGCUAGUUGGUGAGGUAAUGGCUCACCAAGGCGACGAUCCGUAACUGGUCUGAGAGGAUGAUCAGUCACACGGGAACUGGGACACGGUCCAGACUCCUACGGGAGGCAGCAGUGGGGAAUAUUGGACAAUGGGCGAAAGCCUGAUCCAGCCAUGCCGCGUGUGUGAAGAAGGUCUUCGGAUUGUAAAGCACUUUAAGUUGGGAGGAAGGGUUGUAGAUUAAUACUCUGCAAUUUUGACGUUACCGACAGAAUAAGCACCGGCUAACUCUGUGCCAGCCGCCGCAGUAA